rnacentral:rRNA from 1 species
GACGAACGCUGGCGGCGGGCUUAACACAUGCAAGUCGAACGGAAAGGCCCUGCUUGUUUGGGGUGCUCGAGUGGCGAACGGGUGAGGAACACAUGAGUAACCUGCCCUUGACUUUGGGAUAACUUCAGGAAACGGGGGCUAAUACCGGAUAGGAUCUCCUGCUGCAUGGUGGGGGUUGGAACGUUUCGGCGGGUGGGGAUGGACGCGCGGCUUAUCAGCUUGUUGGUUGGGUAGUGGCUUACCAAGGCUGUGACGGGUAGCCGGCAUGAGAGGGUGACCGGCCACAUUGGGACUGAGAUACGGACCAGACGCGUACGGGAGGCAGCAGUGGGGAAUAUUGCACAAUGGGAGGAAGCCUGAUGAAGCAACGCUGCGUGCGGGAUGACGGCUUGCGGGUUGUAAAAAGCAUUCGCCUGUGACGACGCGUGAGUGACGGUAAUGGGUAAAGAAGCACCGGCUAACUACGUG